UACAGAGGACUCAAGCGUUGUUCGGAUUCAUUGGGCGUAAAGGGUGUGUAGGUGGCGCCGUAAGUCGGGUGUGAAAUUUCGGAGCUUAACUCCGAAACUGCAUUCGAUACUGCGGUGCUUGAGGACUGGAGAGGAGACUGGAAUUCAUGGUGUAGCAGUGAAAUGCGUAGAGAUCAUGAGGAAGACCAGUGGCGAAGGCGGGUCUCUGGACAGUUCCUGACACUGAGACACGAAGGCCAGGGGAGCAAACGGG
rnacentral:rRNA from 1 species